rnacentral:lncRNA from 1 species
AUGUUAAUGUGGUUUUAUUUAGUCAAUAGAAAGAUGCCUUUACAUGUACCUCCACGUCGCCUGUUUCCAGUACAGGAAAGUUGGGGUGGGAGGAGGACACUUCCUGGGCUGCUUAUCUCUGGUUGCACUUUCUUCUCAGGAGUGUGCAACAGGAUGGGGCAGGGGGCUUCAGGGGCUUCUGCUCUGCCUGGUGCCUGCCUAGCCAUUUCAGAGGAAAAGCAGUGGGUUCUGACAGUCAUCCCUCAACCUGAACAGCAAGAAUCGGGGGAUGAAUUCAGCUGCUUGCUCCUCGCGUGUGUGCCUGACGUUUUGAUAACCAUCUGGCUGACAGCGGGCUGUAUCUUUUCCUCCAGCCCUUCCCUAGCCAGGGCAGCCAUCUGCAGCUUGCCUGGGAGUUGGGUUGAUAGGCAUUCCCCAGCCUGGACAAACUCCUGGAAACUCGUUUUAGUGGAGGCUGGACGGAAAGCUCCUCUUGAUCUGCUGGAUCAUUCCUCAGCUUGGGACACGUCACCAGGCCCCCUAGUGGCCACACCCAACUGAAGCCCCAGGGCUAGCGAGCCUGGCUGAUGUAGCCUCCUGGGCAAAGAGUCCAGUGGAGAAGGAUGGAAGGCAGACCUGAAUGGGGCAAGUGAGUAGAAUCUAUCGCAAGCAUGAUAACACCAUGGGGCUGCCAUCACAAAACCCAGAACGCAGGAAACUCUCCAGAACAAACNCAAAUGUAUGAUUAUCUCAGUAGAGUGCUGAAAAACUCAACAUUCGUACUUGAUAAAUUCCUCAGUAUACCAAAAAAAAACCUUUUUUUUUUUUUUUUUUUUUUUUUUUUGCUUCCAUCAAAUAACUUGCAAAGGUUAGGGGUGGCAGAUGGAGGAAGGACAGCAUAGGAGAACCUUUGCAUUAAACAACCCUUUUCCCCCUAACAAAGAAUUUACAAAGAGGAUGAAAAAAGGGGACCUGUAAAUUCAGACAUUUGAAUCAUGCACAGAUACAAAAGCAUAGACCUGUGGAUCCUCUUUCUAAGAAAUCAACUGGUAAGCAAGAUCAAUUCAAUUCCUGAAAAAAAUCUGAGAAAGUUGAACAGUGUCUAGAUAUUUGAUUAUGUGAAAGAAUUAUGGAUAGGUUCUCAGUUUUAGAUAUGAUUGUGGAAAAGAGAGAGAGGGAGAGAGCGGUUCUCACCCUGGCACAGUGGGUUAAGAAUCUAACUGCAGUGGCUCUGGUUGCUGUGGAGGCACAGGUUCGAUCCCCAGCCCAGUGCAGUGGGUUAAAGGGUCUGGCGUUGCCACAGCUAUGGUGUAGGUUGCUGAUUCAGUCCUUGGCCCAUGAACUUCCAUAUGCUGAGGAUGUGGCCAUAACAUUUUAAAAAAAAAAAUUUUAGAGAGAGAAAAAAACUUAGAGCAAAACAUACUGAAGUAAUUGCAGAUGAAAGAGUAUGUCUGGGAUUUGCUCAAAAAUAGUCAAGUGGGGUGGGG